GCUGUGUUUAGUACUUUGGCAGCAUAAAUUAAAGUUGGAACGAUGCAGAGGUGAUUAGCGUGGCCCUUGCGCCAGGAUGAUAGACAAAUUCAUGAAGCCGUCCAUAUUUUU